UUCAGGAGUACAAGAGUUUUCAUAUCCAACUUUGAUCGUCCGUCUUAUUUAAAUUUUUUUUAUAAUUAGUAUUUUGUUUGUUAUGAGAUGAUAAAACAUGAAUACUAUUUCACUCGCGACUUAUGUUUUUAUUUUUUUAAAAUAAGACUAACGAUCAAAGUUGGACGCGGAAAAUCAUGAGUGCACUUAAA
rfam:Oryza glaberrima chromosome 6 Oglab06_0039_18, whole genome shotgun sequence.